AUUUUAGAGAAUACUCUUAAAAUGCACUUCUCAUGAGACAUUUUCUCAGUCAACUCUUAAAUUACCAAGGACACAGGUCUACUUGCUGACCAUUUCCAAGAUGGCAGCACUUCUGAUGUACCUGAAGCAGCUGAAUUGCAUCUAUUUAUGGACAUAUCUAUGUUUGGCAACUCUAGCUGUGGAGAAUCCACAGGAAAUGUUGCAAACAAAACCUCAUGAGGUUCGGACACUGAAUGCAGGAAAUACAAGAAACACAAGAUCACCAGGUAAG